rnacentral:tRNA from 1 species
UCGGGUAUGGUGUAACGGUUAGCAUAGGGCACUCUCAUAUUGUCAUCCGAUGUCAGUUUACAGUCAUUAGAUGCUCUACAUGAGGCAUGCCUUGAUCUGGGUUCGAUUCCCGGUACCCGAG